UGGUGGAGUGAUUUGUCUGGUUAAUUCCGUUAACGAACGAGACCUCGACCUACUAAAUAGUUGGUGCAACUCUUUGGGUUGUCACUCGCUUCUUAGAGGGACUAUCGGUUUGUAGCCGAUGGAAGUUCGAGGCAAUAACA
rnacentral:rRNA from 1 species